rnacentral:rRNA from 1 species
UACGGAGGGGGCAAGCGUUGUUCGGAAUUACUGGGCGUAAAGGGCGCGUAGGCGGCUAUAAUAGUCAGGCGUGAAAGCCCCGGGCUUAACCUGGGAACUGCGUUUGAUACUGUAUAGCUAGAGAUUGGAAGAGGAGAGUGGAAUUCCAAGUGUAGAGGUGAAAUUCGUAGAUAUUUGGAAGAACACCAGUGGCGAAGGCGGCUCUCUGGUCCACAUCUGACGCUGAGGCGCGAAAGCGUGGGGAGCAAACAGG